rnacentral:rRNA from 1 species
UACGUAGGGGGCAAGCGUUGUCCGGAAUCAUUGGGCGUAAAGGGUGCGUAGGUGGCGCGUUAAGUCAGGUGUGAAAUUUCGGAGCUUAACUCCGAAACUGCAUUUGAUACUGGCGUGCUUGAGGACUGGAGAGGAGACUGGAAUUCAUGGUGUAGCAGUGAAAUGCGUAGAGAUCAUGAGGAAGACCAGUGGCGAAGGCGGGUCUCUGGACAGUUCCUGACACUGAGACACGAAGGCCAGGGGAGCAAACGGG